UGAGGAAUAUUGGUCAAUGGGCGAGAGCCUGAACCAGCCAAGUCGCGUGAAGGAAGACAGUCCUAAGGAUUGUAAACUUCUUUUAUACGGGAAUAACGGGCGAUACGAGUAUUGCAUUGAAUGUACCGUAAGAAUAAGCAUCGGCUAACUCCGUGCCAGCAGCCGCGGUAAUACGGAGGAUGCGAGCGUUAUCCGGAUUUAUUGGGUUUAAAGGGUGCGUAGGUUGUUCGGUAAGUCAGCGGUGAAACCUGAGCGCUCAACGUUCAGCCUGCCGUUGAAACUGCCGGGCUUGAGUUCAGUGGCGGCAGGCGCAAUUCGUGGUGUAGCGGUGAAAUGCAUAGAUAUCACGAGGAACUCCGAUUGCGAAGGCAGCUUGCCAUACUGCGACUGACACUGAAGCACGAAGGCGUGGGUAUCAAACAGG
rnacentral:rRNA from 1 species